GGCGGGUAAACCGGUGGCCUCACCGGUGGCUUAGCUGGAGGGGAGACUGGUGGUUUGGUUGGAGGAGAGACCGGAGGCUUAACCGGGGCUUUGGUCGGGGGCUUAACAGGGGCUUUGGUCGGAGGGUAAACCGGGGGCUUAACCGGAGGUUUGGCCGGUGGUGAAACUGGUGGCUUUACUGGAGGUUUGGCCGGUGGUGAAACUGGUGGCUUAACCGGAGGUUUGACUGGGGGCUUAACUGGAGCUUUGGUCGGAGGGUAAACUGGAGGUUUAACAGGAGGUUUUGCUGGUGGGGAAACUGGUGGCUUAACCGGAGGUUUGACUGGGGGCUUAACCGGAGCUUUGGUCGGAGGGUAAACCGGAGGUUUAACAGGAGGUUUUGCUGGUGGGGAAACUGGUGCCUUAACCGGAGGUUUAGUUGGGGGCUUAACCGGGGAUUUGGUUGGAGGGUAAACUGGAGUCUUAACCGGAGGUUUAGAAGGUGGAGAAACCGGCGGCUUGACAGGGGCUUUUGCCGGUGGGUGAGGGUGAGGGUGGUGGUGAUGGGGAGGAUGUGGGUGGUGGUGGCCGUGGUGGUAAGGAGAUGGAGCAGGGGCAGAGGAAGGCGUUUGGGUCACAUGGUUCACU
rnacentral:lncRNA from 1 species